AAGGUGAACAGCCUCUGG
rnacentral:ncRNA from 2 species